rnacentral:rRNA from 1 species
UGCUGGAGGUAUCAGAAGUGCGAAUGCUGACAUAAGUAACGAUAAAGCGGGUGAAAAGCCCGCUCGCCGGAAGACCAAGGGUUCCUGUCCAACGUUAAUCGGGGCAGGGUGAGUCGACCCCUAAGGCGAGGCCGAAAGGCGUAGUCGAUGGGAAACGGGUUAAUAUUCCCGUACUUGGUGUUACUGCGAAGGGGGGACGGAGAAGGCUAUGUUGGCCGGGCGACGGUUGUCCCGGUUUAAGCGUGUAGGUGUGUGUUCCAGGUAAAUCCGGUUCACUUUAACACUGAGGCGUGAUGACGAGGCACUACGGUGCUGAAGUAACAAAUGCCCUGCUUCCAGGAAAAGCCUCUAAGCAUCAGGUAACAUCAAAUCGUACCCCAAACCGACACAGGUGGUCAGGUAGAGAAUACCAAGGCGCUUGAGAGAACUCGGGUGAAGGAACUAGGCAAAAUGGUGCCGUAACUUCGGGAGAAGGCACGCUGACACGUAGGUGAAGUGAUUUACUCAUGGAGCUGAAGUCAGUCGAAGAUACCAGCUGGCUGCAACUGUUUAUUAAAAACACAGCACUGUGCAAACACGAAAGUGGACGUAUACGGUGUGACGCCUGCCCGGUGCCGGAAGGUUAAUUGAUGGGGUCAGCGCAAGCGAAGCUCCUGAUCGAAGCCCCGGUAAACGGCGGCCGUAACUAUAACGGUCCUAAGGUAGCGAAAUUCCUUGUCGGGUAAGUUCCGACCUGCACGAAUGGCGUAAUGAUGGCCAGGCUGUCUCCACCCGAGACUCAGUGAAAUUGAACUCGCUGUGAAGAUGCAGUGUACCCGCGGCAAGACGGAAAGACCCCGUGAACCUUUACUAUAGCUUGACACUGAACAUUGAGCCUUGAUGUGUAGGAUAGGUGGGAGGCUUUGAAGUGUGGACGCCAGUCUGCAUGGAGCCGACCUUGAAAUACCACCCUUUAAUGUUUGAUGUUCUAACGUGGACCCGUGAUCCGGGUUGCGGACAGUGUCUGGUGGGUAGUUUGACUGGGGCGGUCUCCUCCUAAAGAGUAACGGAGGAGCACGAAGGUUGGCUAAUCCUGGUCGGACAUCAGGAGGUUAGUGCAAUGGCAUAAGCCAGCUUGACUGCGAGCGUGACGGCGCGAGCAGGUGCGAAAGCAGGUCAUAGUGAUCCGGUGGUUCUGAAUGGAAGGGCCAUCGCUCAACGGAUAAAAGGUACUCCGGGGAUAACAGGCUGAUACCGCCCAAGAGUUCAUAUCGACGGCGGUGUUUGGCACCUCGAUGUCGGCUCAUCACAUCCUGGGGCUGAAGUAGGUCCCAAGGGUAUGGCUGUUCGCCAUUUAAAGUGGUACGCGAGCUGGGUUUAGAACGUCGUGAGACAGUUCGGUCCCUAUCUGCCGUGGGCGCUGGAGAACUGAGGGGGGCUGCUCCUAGUACGAGAGGACCGGAGUGGACGCAUCACUGGUGUUCGGGUUGUCAUGCCAAUGGCACUGCCCGGUAGCUAAAUGCGGAAGAGAUAAGUGCUGAAAGCAUCUAAGCACGAAACUUGCCCCGAGAUGAGUUCUCCCUGAGACUUAAAGUCUCCUGAAGGAACGUUGAAGACGACGACGUUGAUAGGCCGGGUGUGUAAGCGCAGCGAUGCGUUGAGCUAACCGGUACUAAUGAACCGUGAGGCUUAACCUUACAACGCCGAAG